AAAGUCACAAAAAUAGGUUUCAUUAAAGAGGUAAAUAUACACUUAUACCCCUUGGGUUAAUUAAUCCAAACCUUAGGGUUUAGAGUUAAGGGGGUGGGGUUUUGGAAUUAGGGUUUAAAAUUUUAUAAAAAAUAAAUACUAAAAUAAAAAAAAAAAAUUUUAAAAACAGUUUCAAAAAGUAUUUUUAAAUUAUAAAAAGAAAAUUUGAAAAAAAAAUAAAAAAAAUUCGAAAAAAAAAUUUCAAAAAAAAAUUAUAAAAAUUUCGAAUCUGAAAAAUAUAAUCUGAAACUAUAAAAAAACUUUCUUUUUUUCAUUUUUUUAUUUUUAUUUUAUUUAUUUUUGUUUGUUUAUUUAAUUUUAAACCAAGGGUAUUAGGGAUAUUUUACCCUUUAAUGAAUAUCAUUUUUGUGACUUUCUCCUUCUAGUGCUAUUUUUGUGACACAAACUUCAAAAGGUGAUAUUAUUGACAAUUGCCCUUAAAAUAUAAUAGAUAUAUUUUAAUAUUUUCAUAAUUUCAAUUUUAAUUUUUUUUAUUAAUUUUUUUUUACUUUUGUAUAUAUAUUGAUUUAAAAAAAAAUAAAAAUUUACCCUCCCGCAACUGCCUGCAACCGCAAACGCUAGCUGGAGCCAGCUUUUGAAUUUAUGAGAUUCUGAGCGGUUUGAAGCGGUUUAGAGCGAUUUGAGUGAUUGUUGCAAACCGCCGACAACCGCUACCAACCGCAAAAGCAGCGUUUGCAGAUGGUAGCGGAAAAACCAGUCGCACAAUUAAUAGAAUAUAUGGUAUAUUUGUAUUUUAAUAUUUUUACAUAAUUUAAAUGAAUACCCAUAUUUGAACUGAACCCGUAAUGAUCCAAACUGAAUUCGAACUAAAAUUUAUAAA
rnacentral:lncRNA from 1 species